AUGUGUCAGGGCACGGGGGGUUGGGGGGCGGGCGUUUGGUUCCCGGGGUGCGUGUUUGGCGGGGGUGGGGGGGGACUUUUGUCUCCAGGGCGAGAGCGAGGGCCCGGGGCGGGCGGAAGGUGUUGGUGUGUGGCGGCGGCCUCGAGCGCAGGAGAGAGGCAGCCUAAGCUGGACGUCGGGGCCGCGGGACCAAAAGGGGACGGGGUGCUGCAUGGGCCGGGAAUCGAACCCGGGCCUCCCGCGUGGCAGGCGAGAAUUCUACCACUGAACCACCCAUGCACCGGUGGCCGGCGCCACCAGGCGCCGCCCCAGCGGCGCUCGCCACCAGCCGCCCGACACUGGUCACGGCCCUGCGGGGCCCUGGAGGGCGCUCGGGGGCGGGCGGGGGGGGGCAGGCGCGGUCGGAGGGGGUGCGGUGCAGGGAGACACGGAGGCGCGGUGGCACCUGUGCGCCGAGGCGCGGAGGAGCCGCGACAGAGCGGGGCGGCCUCGGCCCAUGCCGCGCCUUGUGUCCGGCCCAGGGCCGCCGCGACCCUGCCGGCGUCGCCAGAGGAAGCCAGGAGCCGCGCCCAGCCUGGCCCGCGCUCGGAUGACAACGAGGGGCGGCGAUGUGUGGCGGGCGACGUUCCCUUCGACGACCCACGGGCCCGUGCCCAAGUCCCCUGGGCGGCGGGCUUCCCCUCGGGUGCGCUGGGCGCGUGGCCGUGCGCGGGCGCCAACGGCGCGGCCUGCCGGGCGAGGGCAGGGCAGGGCAGGGCAGGGCCGUGCAGGGCAGGGCUGGGUGGGAGGGCCGUGGCGUGGGGGCGGCCGUGGGAGCCGCAGGCUGGGGAGCGCCGCCUCGGCCGCCCGCCGCUGAGCGGCGCUCAUGCCAAGAGACCCGAGGGGCCUGAGCCUGGCGCCUGCGCUCUGGCCGACGGCUCGCCCGCAAGGGUCCGGCUCCGGGGUGCCUUGGUGGCGAGGCAGGAGCGCGUUCUUGGAUGGCGGGCGCGCUUUGGCAGAGUGGCUGCCGGCUGGCGGGCCGCCCGCGGAGGAGGCGCGCCGUCGUGUGGUCGUGGGUUUGGGUCCCCGAGGCGCCUUGGCGCGUGCAGACGGGGCUUGGCCCCGGCCGUGGGCCCGACGUUGCGUGUGGGCGACGGGGAUCCAGGGCUUCGGCUCGCUGCUCCCCGGAGCCAGCUUGCCGGGUUGGGCCCGCGUGCCAGGCAGGCCCCGUGCAGGGAGGGCGCUGUGCUGGGCUGGCGAGCAGAAGGCCGGGCUGCGUGGGGCCCGGGAGGCAGGCAUGUGUGGCCCGGGCGAGGCCCCGAGGUGAAAAGUCGUGGUGGGCACCACAGGCCAGCGAGAUGGGGACGGCGACCUGAGCAGGGUGUGGAGAGGAUGGACGGGCCGGGCGGCCGGGGGCUGUGGGAAAGGCCAGCGUGUUGGACGGUGUGCCGCCCGUUGCGCAGGCGUGGCGCUCCAAGAGCGAGGCGCUGUGCGCCAGGCAGAAGUCGGAGGGUGACCCUUGGAGGGUUUUGCACACGCAGGGUCGGGUGGGGUGGGGUGGGGUGGGGUGGGGUGGGGUGGGGGUGGGGUAGCGGGAGUGGGAGUGGGAGCGCGAGUGUGAGGGAGGGCUACACAACCCCCUAA
rnacentral:tRNA from 1 species